UCGUUUGGAACUGAAGUCCAAUAAAAUUUGAUCCUCACUGAAAAUUAAACUCUCUAUAUAUCUUCACAUUCACUUCUCACAAUUCAGAUUCAGUUCUCAAAUUCAAUUUCAAGUUACUGAGACAGACAUCCGGGUAGUUGGAGGAUGAAGGAAGAGCAAUCGAGCGCAGAUCGAUAGAUAGCGUUCAUUGGCGCACAGGACUCCUCUUGGGCCAAUCAGCACCAAUGUUUUGGAGCACAGUACGUUACCCGCCAUGAAACAAAGAAGAAGUGCUUGCCUGACUUGCGUGACCACCACCACCAUGGAUUCGGCUGGGACAAAUACGAUUCCUGCUGCUCCAGUAGCUCUGAUCGACUUCUCCUCUGCUAAAGCCAAAAAAAAAGCUUGACCGUUCUAUUGAUGGCAGGACAACUGAAAACCAGUUAUGGAUGCAAACAUGAAGCACAAGCCAGAGGAGUCUAUGAGAAGCUGAUGGGUCGGGAGCAUGCAGGCUUCUCCUGUAUGGACAGUGGUCUCUGGCUGAACCCCAAGUGGCCAUACAUGGGGUCCUCCC